rnacentral:piRNA from 1 species
UAUACUUGGCACAGGACAUCGUCUCUCAC